rnacentral:lncRNA from 1 species
GCGGAGGGAAAGAAUGACGGUAAUCAGCAAGCUGGAGUUCGAGGCGGCGAUGGCCGGGCGCACCUGUGCAGACGUCAUGCACCCGUGGCACCCUCACUGCGCCCCCGCGGCUCGCAUGAUCUUCGCCUCCACCGCCAUCGGCUUCAACAAGUUCAUGCUCGGCCUCUAUCUCCUCGACGUCCUUCUAAAAUUGACGAGAGAAAAAGAACUAACGAAGGAGGAGAUUAUGUUCAUCGUCAAAAGUUAUCUACGAACAGGCGUAGCUGCCCUUUGGAUAGCAACCACGUUCCUUGCAUCAAAUUGCAUCUUCAGGCGUUGGAUGCCCUUCAACUACUACACAACCGUAAGCAUACCAGCUUUUUAUUGGAGGACUGGGAAUAUCAUUCGAAUCCAAGCAGCGGAUCGAAUUCAUUUUGUAUACUUGGUUGAAUAUGCUCGUGGAAACAACGUUUAACCAUUUAGAGUACCUGAAAAUUUGGAGAGUGAAUGCGGUAAGUGGCACAGCGUUAUUCAUGUUAGCCAACGGUCUGGUUAUGUAUGAAAUCAGGAGGUUAAAGUUACAAGGUCGAACACCCACAUUUUACUGGUUUUUUUCACCUCCGUCUGUGCGGAAUCAACAGGACAUUCAAAACAAUAACAGCAGUAGCACCACCAACAAUAACUAUAACUACAACAACAAUAAAGGAGAUAGCGUAAAAUCGCCGCUCGGUCCUUUCUGUCCACACGAAGGGCCAUGCAUUGAGGAAGUCCGCAAAAGUGCUAUCAAAUUUUUGGGCCUAGGGUAUGUUUUUGGAUUUCUAAAAACAUCUGUGCCACGCCUGGGACUAAUCGUAAAGAAACCAAGAUUAAUCAUAAGUUACCUCCUCAACAAGAAGACAAUAUCUUACGGUUUGUUUGCAGGGCUGUACGUUGCUUUAUACAAGGGGUUAAGCUGUUUCUUGUGCCAAAAUCAAAAAGCGGACUCUGCUAUACUUGCUCUGCCUUGCGGUACAGUCGCUGGAUUAGCGUUUUGUGUACUGCCUGCCCCCUCUAUUUUAGCAGCUAUCUUGGCUAAUUUGAUAUUUAUGUACGGGAAAAAUUCAUCACUUGCACGGUCUAAACUCCCGAUGUCCCAACUCAGCUUCGCACUAGUCAACGCGAUUUUGUUUCAUAACUAUGCGUUCUACAACAAUCUAUCGCCAGCAUUCUUCACCAAUAUGUUAAACGUCGCCACGAAUUACAGGUGUCAUCAAAUUUAUCAGAACCUUGUAAAUUUGGUAGCCCAGUUACCCAAACACACACACCCGGUUCUGCCUACCAUUUGAAGUUGCCACAUUAGAAGUGGUUAAGAUCUCGUACAAUCAAGAGCAAAUAUGUUAUGGUUGAAUGUAGGCAAAAAUCGUUCAAUUUAUUUGAACUUUCACCCAGCAAUACAUCAAACGAAAAAGUGUUUCUUUGAGGAGAAAAUAUUUUUCCAAGAGGAAUACAUGGGAAUAAGUCAGCUUGUGCACACCAUCAUAUAUUAUUCUCAUUUGACGAUGAGAUGAUUCGUAGAAAUUUACGGAUGAAAUGAAAGAUUCAAUUGAUAAAAUAAAAUGUUUUGCGAAAUACUGAAGUCUCUCUCUCUUUUCAAGGAGAAAUGAAGGUAUGCAUUUAUUUUGUUGGGUGAAAAAUGCUGACGUCCCCUUCCUCUUCGACGUCAUUUAAGAACCAACAGUAUAAUAUAGAUAAAGAACGAUUUGAACCAAUUACAACUUAAAAUUGUAAGGUACAAACAUUAUCUUGCAGUAAAAUCAUUUUUAAGCCUCUGGAUCAUAUUUUUCUAUAUGGUCGUAUUUUCUAAUAUUAGGCUAUUAAUUCACAUUACCUGGAUGGAAAUUGAAGUUUACGUGAUUAAUUCUGAAAUGAAGCGAAGAAUGAAUGAUACCUUUAAAUUUUUAUAACUGCCAGAUAAGGCACAAUGUAAAAUUAUUUUAAGAAAAUAAACCCACAGUCUUAAGAUAUUAGAGAUUUUGUAGGUUUACCUGACAGCAUCAAUUUUGUUUAGUUUAUUUUACAACAAUGUGAUCAUUAAGCAGAAUAAGUCUUCCAUGUAGGGAUGCUUUUAUGUAAGUUUCUGUACCCUUAAAGCGACGCCAUAACAUAUGGUGACUGAUUUUACUAAAAAACAGGCAGUUUUCGAACCGGCAAUAACCUAAGCUUAUCAAAGGUUAUCAAUCUUUCACGAUCAUAUUUUAGCGCGUAAUAAUCAUGUUUCAUCACAGUCUACUUUCAUUUUUUGUCAUUGUAAAUACAGCAUUUAUUAAAUAUGUACAAGGUGGAGUAAGGCUGUCAACACCCUCAUCCGAAAUAUUGGAUGACCCCUGAUUUUCACAUGAUUCUGCUAUAAUAGCUAUUGUAUUUUUUUAAUUUUUAAACAUUUGAGACCUAAGUGCGUAUAAAUUUGCUCGUUUUCACUCCUCCUUGUGUGUUUAUUUCCUCAUCAUCCUUCCUCUUUCUCUUCUGUAUUUUUUCACCCGUAGGUUACAUUUCGAUGUGAGACAUUUCAUAAAAUACGCAGCGUUCUAGCGGAGGGGAGUCAAGGAGAGCUUACGCUAGUUUGUUCAUACGUGUUUAAGGAUAUGGAGAAUUAUGGCUCGAAAGCGUCACGGAGAAGAGGGGUUCUUGGAACGUCCAAAAUUUAGCGUUACGUAUU